rnacentral:sRNA from 1 species
AACUAUCUUUUAUAUUUCAUAAUAAUAAUAAAAACACAUUAAAAACUUUUGUAAUUCCUCUUUUUUAUUGUCUUCUUCUCCGUCGAGCAAAAUCUAAAACCCAAAGAGAGCAAAAUAUCUAGAGUCGUCUUCUUGGUAAGUCUCUGUCUUUGUUUCGUCUUCUCCGGCGAAUCUGCAUGAGUUCUUUUCUUUUCCUUUGCCUCUUUGGCUUCUCUUGAGAGACUUUUAGAUUUUCUUUGUCUUAUUCUCCUUGACGCCACCAACUAGUUUGUCUUCUUAGGGCAUCUCCAACCCUACUCUAUUUUAGAGUAAAAAUGCAAAAAUCUUCUCCAACCCCACUCUAUAAUUGACUCAAAAAUAGAGAUUUCUGCAGAUUGACUCUAUAUAUAGAGCAACUCUAUUCUCUACUCUAUUUUUGAGUUCAACUUUUUAUUUAUACUUUAGUCCCUCAAAUUUAAACUUUUUAUUUAAUACAUAUAAUUAUUUUACAAACAACAAUUACAACACAUAAUUUUAUAAACU